rnacentral:rRNA from 1 species
AAGGCUUCAGCACGACCCAGUCAGAACUAUAAGUCUCAAAGCCCCGACGAGUAGGGUGGCGUGCCGGUGCGCGUUGAAGGCCAAGACGUGAGUCAGGCUGGAGCCGCCGGUAGUGCAGAUCUUGGUGGUAGUAGCAAGUACUCUGGUGAACCAACCUGGAGCUGUGAGGUCUGGAUUAGGGUUCCAUGUCAACAGUGAUUGAACAUGGGUGAGUCGAUCCUAAGCCAACUGUGAAAGCAGUGACAUCCCAACAAAGGGUCAUACAUGUUCUGCACUUACACCCCCAAAGCAAAGCUCUCGUAUUGCUCUCUCUCUCAAACGCAAAACCCUCUCUGAGGAAAUGGUGUCUGGUACGCAAUGUAGGAGCGCACACACACACGAUCAUCACUACCCAAAUACGUGAGUGUGUGCGCUAGUCUGUUACGCAAUGUAAGCGCACGCACGAUGAUCACUACACAAAUACGUGUGAGUGUGAGUGCCCUGGUCUGAUUACGCAAUGUAAGCGCACGCACGAUAAUCACUACACACAUACGUGUGAGUGUGAGUGCCCUGGUCUGAUUACGCACGCACGAUAAUCACUACACACAUACGUGUGAGUGUGAGUGCCCUGGUCUGAUUACGCAAUGUAAGCGCACACACAAUGAUAACUACGCAAAUACGCGUGGGAGUGUGUGCGCUCUCGUCUGGUUACGCUCAUAAGCGUUGUUGCUCUAUAAUGAAGCACAAAACCCAAUAGAGAGAGAGAAACGGAGUGGGUGAGCGUGAGUGUUUUUCCCUUACAUGAGCACCCUGCGUUGGUUCUAUGUCCGGCGAAAGGGAAUGGGGACUUUAUUCCUUGACCGGUCCUGGCACCCUCGAUUGGCUCCGCCAAUUAAUGGUCCAUGCAAAUGGAACCAGGCCAUAGCCGUCGGCAGUCGCCCGAGGAAGAGUUUUCUUUUCUGCUUAACGCACGAGGUCAUUCCUGGAAACAGUUCGGCUGGCGAAAGGGUGUCCCGCUGCGGCAGAGCGCCACGACUGUCGUGCGCGUCUCGGUGUUCCUGCUGAUCCGUGAAGACGUGGUCGAGGGGAUUGCAAUCUUGUAUCAACGAAACGCCUGACAAGUUCGGGACGGACCGUACCCUAUAUCCGCAUCUGGUCUCCAAGGUUCGUAGCCUCUGCAGAGUCUGACACAUGUAGGUAAGGGAAGUCGGCAAACUCGAUCCGUAACUUCGGGAAAAGGAUUGGCUCUGAGGGCCGAGCUGGGCCGGGCCUUGCCUGCAAAGCAGUACCUAUAGUGACCGGAGUUUCAGGAGUGCGAGGGGCUCUAGUAGCUGCUUGUGCGUGUGUGUGCGUUCGCUCGUGCAUGCGCGUGUGGGCACGAACGAGUCCACCUCUCCGCUCCAACCACGAACGGCUGUGACGGCAAGGGCUCUGGGCGGGAGCGAUCGAUCCGUUGGCCCCCAGCGUGUCUGGGUGGCGGCGGUGCUCCGUCUGACCCAUACGGCUCCAGCGGCUAGCGGCUAACUCAGAACUGUCAUGGACCAAGGGAAUCCGACUGUCUAAUUAAAACAAAGCGUCGUGACGGCCCCUGUUGGGUGAUGACGCGACGUGAUUUC